ensembl:lncRNA
AGGUUUUCUCCGAGCAACCUUAAGUGAGAAGCAGAUAUUUGACAGUUCCUGGGGUAGCUCAGAGAAUUAACAUUUGUGCGUGCUCAGUCUCUCAGUCAUGUCCGACUCUUGGCGCCCUCAUAGACUGUAGCUCACCAGGGUCUUCUGUCCAUGGAAUUCUCCAGGCAAGAAUAGUGGAGUGGGUUGCCAUUUCCUCCUCCAGGGGAUCUUCCCAACCCAGGGAUCAACUCCAUGUCUCCUGCAUUGGCAGGCAGAUUCUUUACCCCUGAGCCACCUGGGAAGGCCAGAGAAUUAACACAGCAGCCCAACAACCCACUCCAGUUGCCCACACAGAGGCCAGUGCGGGUGGUGUCAUUGAACUGCAGUUUUCUGUCAUUUGUCAUUGCUGUUCCUGCUCCAGUGACAUCCAGGCUUGCUCCACUGUCAAGUUUCAGGUUCCCCAAGGAGAAUCUGCUUCCAGUGAAGUGUGAGAGCAACCAGCCACAGUGCUUUCAACGCUCAAAAUGACAGAAGUUCUGCAGUGCGCCUCCUGCCUCCGGAGUGCUUCUCGGCCCCUCAGCUCAAUCAGAGCCCAGCCUUGGGGGCCGUGUCUGCCCCGGGCUGUGCCUGUAUCAUCUGUGUCCCCUCCCCGGACCUGCUCUCCCCCAGACCUGCCCACCCCAGCUGGCACCUCCAGCUUCCUUCCAGUGAGAACCUGGAGCCCAGAUCAUCCCUCAGGGUGGCUU